UAAACCAAAGAUCUCGGACAGACAACGUU
rnacentral:sRNA from 1 species